rnacentral:rRNA from 1 species
ACCACCAGUGGCAAAGGCGGUCUGCCAGAACACGUUCGACGGUGAGGGAUGAAAGCUGGGGGAGCAAACCGGAUUAGAUACCCGGGUAGUCCCAGUUGUAAACGAUGCAAACUCGGUGAUGCAUUGGCUUAUGGCCAAUGCAGUGCCGCAGGGAAGCCGUUAAGUUUGCCGCCUGGGAAGUACGGACGCAAGUCUGAAACUUAAAGGAAUUGGCGGGGGAGCACCACAAGGGGUGAAGCCUGCGGUUCAAUUGGAGUCAACGCCGGG